CGCCCCUAAACCAACGUACUGACAACGCUACCUCCCCGGAACUCAAACUUUAGCUGGGCAUGACUUGGUACAUCCAGUGACCCAGCAAAAAGUAGCCUCGGUAUAGCCAGAAGUAGCAACAAAUCGCAAAAGGGGAUCCUUGUCUGACUGGUGACUGGACCACAUGACACUUGUUGGAAAAGGAAGGACCAAAGGUGCCAUCGUCGAGGGCCCAGAUAGAUGAAGAGAUUGAAGCCUGGGCUGCACACAAUCCUAAAAUCUAGGAAGAAGUCGCCACCCACUGAUGAUCUCAUCCAAGUUUACCAAAGACUCCAAAGCAGUGUAGGAGAGGAAUGGUGGCCUGUUCGAACAGGCAUGGACUGAAUCGCCAGCUCUCAUCUCCCUAGUCACUCCGAUGGCCACGUGUCGCUCCUCGAUCAACAGCGAUUUCAAUGAAUGAUGCGUUGAUGUGGGCAAAAAGUGAAUCCUUUCUCGCCUUUGAACUCUGGUGUUCGUCGUAUCAAUCCAUUUUGAUUGUCGAGCAACU